UUUUUUAGAAGUCCUUAAUUAGAAUUAGGUGUUUUGGACCCUUUUAGGGGCAAUUUUGUAAAAAAACCCAUGUGUAGGACAUGUGGCCUUUGGCUAGGGUUUCUUUAGAAGGUGGACCCCACCAUUUUUUAGAGCUUGGACGACAUUUUAGAGCAAAAGACCGAGACACACACUUCUUGUCUUCACUUUUCAUUUCACUUUGCAUGUAUGAACUCUCUCUUGGAGACCAUGUAGGGUUUUACGUUUUUGGAGCUAUGGAAUGACCAAAAUCAUAUUUUUCUUCUUCUCUUACUUAAAUCUUGUUUAUCUUUGCUUGGUGGAACUGAAUCCCUCACCCAUUUUCCUUUCAUUUCUUCUUGAAGUUGAGAGCAUAAGCUUGAGUCUUGAGGUGGUUUCUUGCAUUUUUCAUGAUGGGUCUUUGGUUUGAAUGAAGAGCUAUUUCGUUUUUCUCCUUCUUUGCUGCCAUAUUUUUGUAUUUACUUUGGCUUUCUUGGAUUGGAUGAUGAAAAUGAAGUUCUUGAUGGGUUUUGGGGUGAAGGAAGCUUGAAUUGGUGUAUGGGUGUUAAGUUUUGAACCCUUUCUUCUUGUAUUUCGUUUUUGAUGGUUGGAAGCAAUAUUUUGAGCUGGACAUUGUGUUUCUUAUGAGGGCUGGGUGGUUUUGCAAAGGGGUUUAGGGAUUCCAUUUUGUUUUUGUCAAAAAUUUGAAGAGAAGAGAGUUAAAAGUUGGGUUGAAGGAGGUUGACUUUGUGUUUGAUGUGUGUAUAUUGUUUUGCAUUUGGAACUUUGGGUUCUUAGAGCAUGGUUUCGGUAAGAUGAAGGAAGAAAACCUGAAUGAUGUUUGUUGGUAGAGAAAAAAAACGAAAAUGAGGUGAGAAGGGAGAGAGAAAGGUGCAUUUAAUUUUUACCCAAUUUGGACCAAUACAUGAGAUGCUUCUCCUUACUCAAAGAAUGUUUCCACUUUGAGUUUUGUCUCUAACAUUGUUUCUGCUGAGAAUGAGAAUUUCUUGGGUGGUAUAUUUCAAUUGACUUUGCUUACAUGGCAUCUUGGGAAAAGCAUUCAAAGCAUUUUCAUUUGGCAUUUUUGUUUUGGAAUCACUUUUGCAACAAGGGAGGAGUGUAGGUUCAGCAUUUUUUGUGCCUUGGUGUGUACAAUCACGUUUUUGCUGCAUGGUUGGAGAGAGAACAUGGUUUUAUUUUUUGGUUAAGGCACAUGCUUAUUUCCUUGGAGAAUGAAGCACAUGGGACAAGAAGACUAUGCAUUGAAUUAUUUAUUGAAGGAAGAAAGUCAAAUUUGGUUGGUGUGCAUGGGACCUCACGUCCUUGAAGGUCUUCUUAGGCCAUUUUCAUUUUCAAUUUCUUUAUUUGGUGCACACUUGGUCACAUGAAUUUCUAGGAAAAAGUUGUGUUUGCUUAUUUCUUUUGUUUUAAAUUAAUUUGCAUAUUAGGAUUAAUUGGUUUUGAUUUCUCUAAUUUAGUUUUGCAUUUAAUUUAAUUUAACUGUGUUAGGUAGUUGUUUGUUGCCUUGUUGGGGUCUAGUAUUUUAUUUUAUCUUGUUUGAAUGUUGUCUAAUAUGUUAGGUCUUGUUGCUUUAGUUGCAAUGUUAGCUUAAAUAACUUGGUUGGUCAUUAAUAAAAUUACAAUGUUUCCUUGAGAUUUCUGGACUGUAAUUGUGUUUGCCACUCUGAAUUGGUUAAUGUGAAAUCUAUAUUUGCACUUGCAAUUGGGUAUACGCUUAGUUGCCCAGUUGGUGUUGAGUCUUCGCUUAGUUGAUGAAACUGCAUGGUGUAAAUUGGAUUUGAUGUUAACAUUGCGUUCGCUUUGUUCGCUUUUAUGAAAACAUGAUUAGCCUUCGCUUAGUUGGUUAACUGUGUUUGAUUAGAGGUUUGAGUCGCCGCUUUAUUUUGUUGAUAUGUGAUUGGAAGCAUUGUGAUUAAGUUAAUGACCAACCGUUUUCACAUCCUGUUUUUACAUUUCUUUUUACACUUUUGUUUGCAUUCGUGUUUCAAUUUAGUUUAUCUGCAUUCACAAAACUUUUCACAAACCCCCCCCCCCCACUUCGUGUCUGACCUAAUUCCUGAACCACAUUUGGUCCUUGAGAGACGACCUAGGAGUCACUUCCUAGUCUAUAUUGCAUUCUUUUAUGCUCAUUAAAUUUUGCAUGGGGUACGACCUCCAUCAGUAACGAAGAUGAAAGUGAACAGUAGAAUGCAGAGAACGUGAAUGAACAAAAUAACUUGUGUAGCAACAAAUUCAACCAUGGAAUUGUAAAGAAAGUGAGUUCAAUACAUUAAAAGAAAAGAAAGCAAGACCUAAAACCUUAAACCUCCCCCAAUGGGGAGGAAGAAGAAGGAACUCCUUAAAGAAAAAUGCAAGUGGCGGCUGAGAGCUCCCUUGAGAAAUUAGCUUUUAGGGUUUUAUACCACCCAAAAGACCAACAUGCCCUCCUAAUGGGCCUAACCUAAAAGUAGACCACCAAAUGGGCCCAAAGUCCUAAACUAUAACCCAAUGCCCUUCGAAAACGAAAUUGAACUACACUAUUGACGUGGCCACCCUUUUGAAAUCCCAGGAUGUGCUUCCAACAUUGCUGCUGAGUUUCUUUGGUCACCUCAGCUAAUCGUUCGGCCAAUACUAGCUUACCGUUCGGUGAAACACUACUCUGGAGGUUAGUUCAUUAGUGCAUAGUGCAGUCUUCAUCAUACCGUUCGACAGUGUAGUGCUCGAUAACUCAGUGUAGGCUUCAACAAACCGUUCGGUCUGGACUCGCAUGCAGCUACCAAGACCGUUCCGUGUUAAUCAUCAGUAGACCGUUCGAUCUGUAGUGCUUGGCCAUUCAGUGUAGGGUUCAACAAAAUUAGUAUGGGCUUCCAAGACCGUUCGGUCUUCGUCAUCAACUGGCCGUUCGGUCUGUAGUGCUUUACAGGCUUAGGAACAGGCGAUCGGUGCAAACUUCAUCAGACAGUUCAGUCAGGCCUUCAGUAGACCGUUCGGUCAGGCCUUCAGCAGACCGUUCGGUCAGGCCUUCAGCAGACCGUUCGGUCAGGCCUUCUGUAGACCGUUCGGUCAGGACUGGCCAUCUUCAAUGGAUUUUUUCUCAACCUUUCAACAAUGAUUGUCCUGUACAAAAUGAUUGAAAUAAUUAAGCCCAAAUAAUUCAAAUUAACCCGAAUAAGAAUUAGUCUUGAAAUUCAGCCCGAAUAGUGAAAAUGAGAUAAAAAUGGAAAAUUAAACACAUUUCACUAACACAAUAUGUUGCGAAAAGCUAAGUGAGUACUAGAAAAUAAUGACUCAUCAAUGAGGCAUCUAGCAUAAGCUUUCUUUGAGAACCAAGACCUCCAAGGAAUAAAAGGACUAUUGAUGCUUCAUCAAAAUCCUGCAUGGGUGUCUUCCUUAGUAAGGUUUUGUAUUUGUCCCAUGCUUGACCUAGGGUUUCUUCCAUCCCUUGCCUGAAAGAAGAAAUUGCCUGUUUACAUUUGUUGAUUUUAGACUGGGGGAAGUACUUGUUCAGAAAUUUUGACACCACAUCUUCCCAGUCAGUAAAGCUAUCCCUAGGGAAAGAGUUUAACCAUAGCUUAGCAUUGCCUCCCAAUGAGAAAGGAAACAAGCUAAGUUUUAUAGCCUCAUCCGGCACACUAUUGAUCUUCAUAGUGUUGCAAAUCUCAUUGAAUGUGGUCAGAUGUUCAUAUGGACUUUCAUGAGAUAGUCCAUUAAAUUGGUUGCUCUUCACCAAUUGUAUCAAUGUCGGUUUCACCUCCAUGUUUGCAGCAUUGACCCUCGGCCUUCGAAUGCUAUUAAAGACAUGAGGACCAACAACACUGGUGUGAUCUGCCAGAGUACGUCUACCAUUGUUCUCUGAUGGGUGUCGCGGCCCAUACAAAUUUGAUUGCAAUUUAGAAAUGCAGUAUAAUGCUAGGGAAUGACCCCUAGGUCGUCUCUCAAGGACCAACUGCGGUUCAGAGUCAAGUCUAACACGAAAAAGGGGGGGUUUGAAAAGUGUUUUUGUGAAUACGAAUAACUAAAUUAAAAUGAAUGGACAUUAAACUCAACUGUGUAAGUUAGAAAAUAUCAAGGUAAAAUAAAGUGCUAAACCCAACAUUUCAACAAACAAUUAUCUAAACACAAUUAAAACUAUUAAAAUGCAACACUAAAUUAGAGGAAUCAAAUGCAACUAAUCAUACUAUGCAAAUUAAUGCAAAACAAAGAGAUAAUUAAACAUGCUUUUUCAUCUAUCAAUUAUGUGACCAAUAUUCAUCUACCAAUUGAAAUUAAAAGGUGCAAAUAGCUUGAGAAACCCCCUUGGGCCGUGAGCUCCUAGUCCACCAAGGCCCAACUUCAAUUUUGACUUUUUUUCCUUAAAUGAACAUGCAAGGUGUGUUGACUUCUUAUACAUGUGCUCCAUACUUCAAGACAACAAACAUAUGCCUUAAACACACCAUAAAACCAUGCUUUCCUCCCUUUCCAUGCAGCAAAAACGAAAUUGUACACACCAAGGCACAAAAAAACGUGAACUACAAUGCAAUGCUUGCAAACAAUGCUUCAAAAAGUCCAUAAGUCAAAAAGUGCUCAAUUUCUCCUACCCUUGUGCCACAUAAGCAAGGUCAAAGCAAAUACAAACACAAAGCAUCCCAUUCUCCAUGGCAAUUCACGCAAGAAACAAUGCAACGAAAAAGCUUAAAGUGGAAACACUCCUUAGUCAAAAUAAGCAUCUCCUUUUACUUGGCCAAAAGUGGCAAAAAUUAAAUGCAUCAUUCUCUCUCCUUUCUACACACCAUUUUCGUUUUCUUCACCAACACAAACAUUAAAAUGCUCUUUCUUCACCCAUCAACAACGUGAAUGCACCAAGGAAAUCCAAACUUUCAAUUGCAAAAUGAUUCAAGAGCAACAAACACAAACUUCUACUCAACAAUCCACUUCUAACACUAACUUUUCUUCAACUUUCUUUGCAAAAACUUUAGACCCCUUUGCUGCACCGUCCAGCCAUCAUCAACAAGCACAAUGUCCAGCUCAAAAUACUUCUUCCAACCAUCAAACAAAAACCCAAGAAGAAAUGGUCCAAACCUCAACACCCAUACACAAGCUCAAGCUUUGUUCACUUCCAAACUUAACAAGCACUUUAUUUUCAUGAUUCAACCAAGAAAACUAAAUAGAAAACCUUGAAUACUGCAGCAAAGAAGAAAGAAAAACGAAAAGUUCUUCAUUCAAAUCAAAGACCCACCAUGAAAAUGCAAGAAGAAACCCUUCAAACUCAUGCUUCCAACUUCAAAGAACAAGAAAUAAAAUGGGGAAUGGAAAGGUUUUUCACCACCACCAAGCAAAGAUAAUCAAGGUGCAAGCAAGAGAAGAAGAAGAAAAUAUGAUCUUGGUCAUCCCAUAGCUCCAAAAUGUAAAACCCUACAUGGUCUCCAAGAGAGAGUUCAUACAUGCAAAGUAAAAUGAAAAGUGUAGAAUGAGUGAGUUGUUGGAGUGUCUCGACAAUUACCCUAAACAAUGCCUUUCCCCUUCAAAAUAGGUGGGGUCCACCUCCUAAAAGAAACCCUAGGGUUAGGCCAAGUGUCCCACACAUUGGGCUUCUACAAAAUUUGCCACAAAAGGGCCNAAAUGCACUUAAUCUAAUUAAGGUUUCUAAAAAAAACGAAAUUACAACUUUAUUAAAAUGGAAAUGGCUAAAUGUUGAGUCUUGAAUGAUCAUGCCACCAUCCCUAAUGCUCCAAUUGAUGUUUCCCAAAAUUUCCCUGCAACCAAAAUACACUUAAUCAGCUCAGAAAACCCAAAUUAGCACAAUUACG
rnacentral:lncRNA from 1 species